rnacentral:rRNA from 1 species
UACGUAGGGUGCAAGCGUUGUCCGGAAUUAUUGGGCGUAAAGAGCUUGUAGGCGGUUUGUCGCGUCUGCUGUGAAAUUUCGGGGCUCAACCCCGAACUUGCAGUGGGUACGGGCAGACUAGAGUGUGGUAGGGGAGACUGGAAUUCCUGGUGUAGCGGUGAAAUGCGUAGAUAUCAUUUGGAACGCCAAUGGUGAAAACAGGUAGCUGGGGCUGUGCUGACACUGAGACACGAAAGCCAGGGGAGCGAACGGG